ACUCCCGUGAGAAUGCCCUAUUUUACCAAACAUGGAAAACAGGAGCUGGUAUCAGGCACAAACCUUAGCCCACGACACCUUGCUCAGCCACACCCCCACGGGUAAUUCAGCAGUAAUAAACAUUAAGCCAUAAGUGAAAACUUGACUUAGUUAACAUCAAAUAGGGCCGGUUAAACUCGUGCCAGCCACCGCGGUUAUACGAGAGGCCCAAGUUGACACACACCGGCGUAAAGUGUGGUUAAUGUAGAAAAAACUAAGGCCGAACACCUUCAAGGCCGUUAUACGUGUCCGAAGGCAGGAAGACCCCCAACGAAAGUGGCCUUAAACAAGAUGAAACCACGAAAGCUAUGGCACAAACUGGGAUUAGAUACCCCACUAUGCAUAGCCUUAAACACAAAUGUGCCACCACUACAACCAUUCGCCAGGGAACAACGAGCCCCAGCUUAAAACCCAAAGGACUUGGCGGUGCUUUAGACCCCCCUAGAGGAGCCUGUUCUAGAACCGAUACUCCCCGUUCAACCUCACCCCCUCUUGCUCUUCCC
rnacentral:rRNA from 14 species